rnacentral:tRNA from 1 species
CAAAAUGUAGCUUAACUAAAGCCCCUCGCUUACACCGAGGGUAUAUCUGUUUGACUCAGGUCAUUUUGAG